CUGGUAAGUGAUAGGUGAGAGGGCUGCACAUGUCUGAAUCAGCACUGGUUUUAUUCUUAGGUGUUUUAGCCUGAUUAGAAAUUCCUCUCUUCCUGUUACUCAGGUGUCAGGAUUACUGCUGUAGAAAACAUCUGCUUUUAGGGAAAAGAGAUAAAUAAUUCAAAUAUCAUACUGGAAGUGACACUCUUCUACCACCGUAGAGAUGUUUUCCAGGGCCUUCUAGCAGUCAUAAUCAUUGUGACGUCUCUACUCUGUGAUGCUGGCACUGUUGAAGGGAGUAGCAAUUGUAAGGCCUGUUUUACCUUCAUGCUGCACUAAACCCAUGGCAUGUAAGAAAUGGACCUUCCCAGUGGUACCUUUUGUUUCCAAAUCAUUGCCACGCGAGUGGACUUUUGGAAUGCCGGGAGCUCUGGCUAAGGCACAGGGUCCCGUGCAUGAGUGGCAGCAGUCACAUGUCAGGGUUGCUGUGAUGUCUCAGCUGUCUGAAGAUGAGCUUGUGCUUCAGCUGUCACUGAACUGCACCAAGGGACAGCACUCUUCGUAAAGUGGUCUUUAAAACACACAGCUCUCCUGUUCAGCCAUAAAACCCGGGAACAUGAAGUGAUGUGUGAGCUAUUUUAAAUGUUGAUUUUCAAAUCCUUCCUGUUUUAAACAUUGAAAGUUGAUAACAAUGCUGAUGAAAUACACCCAAUGUUAUUUUUAUCUAAUUGCAAGUCACUCCCAUGGUCUAUUGGAAAUGUGCUGGGAUUUACAGACAACAUUCAAGUAGCUGGACUGUGCUCUGAACAGUGAUGCAGUGAGAAAGCAGCUCCAGAUUCAGUGGAGUAAAUGCUGCUCAGGCCUCAAUCUGCAGCUGCCCAUUACCACAGGCUGUUGCAUGGACAGGGCAAAUCUGUAAAUCUUCCGCCUGUGACUAAGCCAUGCCAGAACUCUGUGCUGCAAACUGUGAAGAGGAAGGAUCUGUGCUACACACUGGGGACCUGUGGAUAUUCUGGUGUUCUUCUGCACUUGUCUGAACUCUGAGAGCUGCACCUCACCUAUGCAAUUUGGCAGUGUGGUGCUACUGCAAAGCACGAUGCAGUGUUGGCACAGCAAGGAUUUCUAAUUAAGAUGUCUCUACUGCUUUAAAACUGUCACUCAAAAUGGGUUUCUUUUUGGCUUUGGGGGAGUGGGAGAUUUUUUUUCUGAGUGACCUUAACUUACCCAGGCUAUACAAUGGAUGGCAUGAUCAGGACAGUCACAGUGACCAUUUCUUGCUCUGUAGUCCUCCCCCAACAUCUUUUGUCCAAAAUACAUCGGAUCCAUUCAUGAGGUUUUCUUCUUCCAGUCUUACACUAUUCCUAAAAAAUUCACAAAGGCAGAAUUGAAAUUCCAAAAAAUAAUGCCAGCAGGAAACAGAAUGGAGACUGAAGCGUUCCUAUCUAGAGAAAGAGCCAACAAAGAGAAUAUUGUUUUCAUUUUGUAGAAGUUUAUUGUCAAAUUACUUUGACCUAAGCUUUAGACUUAUCUAUAUGUUUCUCAGUAGGAAAAUUUGAAAUGCUGACUGAAUGGCAUCAGUGCUCUUGGUACAGUAAUCUCAUGACAUCUUUUGCGGUCAGUCUUUAUGCUCACCAUGAUAAAACAACAGCCAAAAAGGGCACAUUAUGUCUAAUUGCCCUCACUCAAACUUGGAUGCUAUGUAAUGGACAAAUAAAAAUCAGCAAACGUUUUCUUGACUCA
ensembl:lncRNA